AUCAGGUUUAACUAAACUACAGCGAGCUGCAAAGCAAAUUGAUUCUAAGACUGAGACCAAGAUUGACGAGAAUCAAAAUCGUAUUUUCCUUUGGAUCGCUUUAUUAGUCGCCAGCUUCUGUUUUUUGAUGCUCUUCACCUCCAUAUUAGUCCAAAGAUGGGUCGUGUCUGGAGCAAAGCAUGAAAAUCCUGAGUUUGAUGGAUUUGUUCAGAUCGGCAUUUAUACCGGCAAGAAAAGCUUUAAUGUCGGGCAAGGUUGGAACACCACGGAUUUUCAAAUUGGAGAGUUGGUGCUCAUGGAAGGCGGAGAAAUCGGUCUAAAUGCUGACAACCUUUGGGGAACAGUGAUCACAAUGUACACCUGCAUUAUUCUAGAAGUCAGUGCCAUCAUCCUUGCAAUUCCGGUGCUCUUCUGCCCUGCUGAACUCAUUCUCGGUUUACGUGGCUUGAGCGUGGUUAAUUUCCUCUGUUUCUUAGCUAACGUGGCUACGUUAAUCUGUUGGAUGUGUGCCUAUUUCAACGCCUUCCAGUACAACGUGUUACCCCAAGCUGAAUUGAAUGACAUGUGGAGUUCGACCGGACAAGCAUAUUUUGGAUUUUCUU